CAUCUCCCCCCCGGGCUGCUAGGUUUUUCGGCCGGCAGCCGCUCGAGCCCAGCCCCGGCAGCAACCUCCCGGUGCGUCUCAUACACCAUCUGUCGCCCCGUCCAGGUCCUCUGGGCGGCUCCCCGCGGCAGGGAGGUGCGGCACCUCACGCCGCCCAUGUUCCUCUCUUGCUUUCACGUUCUCACCAUCACGCCACCGAUCCCCUCCCCUCCUCCACCCAGCGGCCGAUCCGACCUCACUUCUCCUCCUCAUGGAUGCCUCGCCUGCGUUGCCUCACCUCUCGCGGCGCCUCUUGGCUCAUCCGCUGGGGAACUCCAUAACUCUCUCGGCCCCUCCUUCUCCUGCCUCCUUGGCGCGCACCAACCAACCACAUGCUUCCCCUAGCGGACCACAUUAGAUUAACCCGGACUUUGGUCGGUGUUUUUCUUUUCUUUUCUUUUCUUUUCUUUUCACGGCUUUCUUGAUCUUUGCUACUCGGUGUCAGAGCAUCGACGGUCAGCACAACAGUACGGAGAUCCAAAGCAUUAUUUUAUGUCUGAACUUUUCACGGCUCAAGUCACAUAGGAAAGGUCAUACCGGUUUUGAGUUCUCUCCUGUGAAAUCUUUUAUUUGGAUCAAGUUGCUUUUGGACUUUUAGGAGGAAUUCGUAUGUAGGUUUAUGUUCCCUUGUGGAUGAAAAGAUGGUCAGAUGAAGAGGUUUCCUCUCCUGGUAUUGUUUGGAUAGAGAAAGAGAUCUCUGUUUGCAUUAGUAUUGGUGGCAUCCCUGUCCGAGUUCUAUUAUCAGGAGUCAUUGAGCAAGAUGAUUAUUGACAAGAACUUAUGUUUUCAGUUGUCUUUAACAAGAUACGAAGAAGAAAAGGCUGAAGCUAGAUGUUUGCGUUUGAGUUAUUUGCAAUAUAUGUAGACAAUAUAUGUAGGCUAAAGCUAGGUCCGGUUCAUGUACCUUAGAUUGGAAUUGCAGUUUCCUUCUGUCAAACCUGUAGAUGCCGUGCCUGAAGGUUUUCCGCUGUAAUUUACAGGCUUGAGAUCUUUCAGGUCAAGUUUCAACUGGUCGAUUUGGGUACAGAAUUCUUGAGGUUGAUCAUUCUGUUGAAUGCAUUGCUGAAUGAGGA